rnacentral:rRNA from 1 species
CAUGUAUGCAUCGGUGGAAGCAAGGAAGGAGGGGGAGAGCUUUUCAAGUCGGAGGUGAAGGGGAGGGGCAGUAGAAGGAGCGUCGACGCGAAGAGGGUGGUGUGGGCGGUUGUGUCGAAUCGUCGUCGUUUUUCACCUGGAGCUCGCUCGUUCGCGCGUUUAAGGUAGGGUCCCAAAGCGAAGCUAGUCUGAUCCAGGUUAGCUCGGUCGCGCGCGCCCGGGAGCAAUCGCCGGCACGGCCUAGCUAAGGUUCUCCUGCCGGCAGCGGCCGCCGCCGCCUAGCUCCGCGCCUCAGAGACGCUUCUCGUCGCGGCCCCCGAGCCUAGGUGCGCGAGCCUCCUCGAGUACUCCGCCGGACGGUGGACACCUAGAGGACCAAGGCGGAGCCGGAGGCCAAGCCCGGAGACGAUCCGCCGGCCCCGGACGCUGCCUAGCGCGCCCCCCACUCCUCCUCCGACACCGUAACCUCCCACUCGCCUCUACCACUCGCCGGUGGAUAAGGUGACGGCAUUCUUAAGCACCGGCGGCCUCCUCAUACACCCGGCCUGGCGGGACGUUGACAACCUGAACCUGCCGCCCAGCGGCGGCCUCGUCCGUACCGCCUCCUCCGAGUUGUCAGUGCGCUUGUAUGAGUUCCUUAAGUCGCAGUGGAAGUACCUUCGUUACUUCUACUACUGGGAGCCCCACUCCGAAACCAGUAUACAGGCACUCCUCCGAAGGGUACCUUCCUUUCGAGGAUAACUAGGCAAAUGUUCUCUCUCUACAUUCGGCAGCCGAAGCGUCCCACACGGCGAGCCUCCCUACCCCUCACCAUCGUAAAGUUCUCCUAAGUCCCCUCUCAAAUUCUUAACCGUGUAGUAAGGACCAAACACACUCUUAAGCGGCCAGUACCUCUUGGUCAAAAGAUAUAAACAUAGUGCUCUAUCACCCUUAUUUUUUAUGAGUAGCCAUAACCGAGGACCUGUGGUACUUCCGAAUUUCUUUACAUCACUGAGACCUUAAAGUAGUACCCUGACCUUGGACUCGCCAGUUGUGAGAUGGAUGGUACGUAACAAAGGAUCCCGGACCUGAUAAAUGCUACCACUCGGUCUAGGUCUGGAAUUUUAGAGUACGGCGGUCUAUAGUGGUAAGUAAGGAGUACUAAUGUUCCUAUCGUCAGAAGGCCGUAGACACAAACACAUGUGAGACCACUUAUGGCCCUCUCUGGCACGUUUUCACUCGGACAACUACUGUACCCGCUUAAGGUAACCUCCAAAAAGAGUAGUAAGUCCUCCGGUGAAGUUACUUGGGAAGUAACCCCUACUGCCUCACAGCCCUCACGAAAACGUAGUGUUUUGUCGUUUCCUAUUAGGAGGUCAAUGAAAGAGAUAACGACGGACGCUUUGAGUCUUACACUCGCACUGUCAGAACGGACAAAAACCAGAAAGACCUCUCUUGGUACAAAGCCGCUUCCUUUACACCCUAUGGUACAGUUUCCUACCGGUGAAGUCAGCCCUUUUAAAGCUACGACCAACAUCAUACGGAAGAAGAAGUCCCCUCUGUGAAACACGCCGACAGAGCCGUAGAUGAACCCACCUCGGUGUACCAUCCACAUGACACCGUAAACGAAACCGAACCAGGAGUGGAUUUCACUUCAAAGUCUUCCCCACGUGUAUAUUGUCCUCCAUGUGGCUUAAAAUACCUUGAAGACUUUCUAGUAGUAGAUAAUUAAACCAUGUACUACGGAAUUGUUUUAUAUCUGAAACCCUUCUUCUCUAGCUCUUCACCGUUCUGGGGUAUGAGUUCCUACUUUUUGAGGGUCUUACCAUGUUCAAGUGGGAAAAAUUGCUCGAAAUAAAAGACCAACGACCCCCUUGACAAACCUGUCUACCAGUUGGAGGUCGCAAAUCACUUUGUUCAGGACGAAUGGUUGUAUUUGUAAGUUUCUUCCCGUGAUUUAGUCUUAGUCAAUUUCUAUUGGUACAGUUCGGUCGUCGUCUCGUUCAGUUACUACCUCUACUGGACGGAUUACCACUUCUCGCUUCGCACAGUUACAUACGUCGUCAAGUACCUAGUGUCUACGGACUUGUUUGGUCACCUGAAUCCAGCGUCCUUGGCUAAGGAAUAGAUGAAAGGUUCCUACCGGGACUUUUACAGCCAUUUAAGAACAUGGACCUCCCUCACCUUAUGUAGUACACCUUGUGCAUACUACACGUAAAGAUACGAAGAAAACGAGAGGAACUAAAUAAGGGGUUCUAUCUCGACUCAUAAGUUGCGCUAAAACGACUACGACAAGACAUACUUCUAGCCGCCUCUCAUUUUAAAAACCGACUACCGUGGAGUCCUUAGGCAUUUCAGUUUCCACGACAAGGAGUACUGGAUCCUUGUGUACUAGGUACCGUGCUUUACUUACGGAUGUUAUAUGUACUAUGUUCGUUUACCUUUCUAGAUUUAGGGUUCAAACAUGAGGUCCACAUGUCUCUGAAACGACGGUGUCCACUAUACUGUAAACCAUCUCUACAUACCGGACGUCAGACACGUCGUUACCUGAUGUACCUAGUCAAACUAGCGCUAACACUACCAGAGUAACUCUUACUACCUAAAGGACUAGUUUGGAUACUACGAACCUGACAAGUGCCCUAGUCACGGAUGACACCACCGGAGACCGAACGACGUGAAGUUCGACGACGAUGUUACCGAGUAGCGGAACCCCUAGCAGGUAUGCGACUUUUCAUGUUCGACUUCAAAUACUUUCGAUUUCGUCACAUGCUCCGCUUCAAUACCUUACCUAGAAUAAAGUUAAUACUGUCACCAUGUUCGUCGUUAUCGGCCAGGUAAGUCCGACUAGUCGAACGUCCUGUCACCAUACGGCGUAGCAGUCCGAACGGGGGUUAAAAACUACUCGUGUUUUAUUCUUCACGCGACGUCUUUUAUAAACUUAAGUUACAGUACUUCCAUUUUCCUCCUGCCUACCCUCGACAUUUACCGUACUGAGGAUUCCCUUUCCACCUACUCUGUACGUACGUCAGAGCCCUUUAGACCUGACCACAAUGUAUGCCACAACGACGUUUGUACGAUGAGGUACCCUACCUCGUAGUUCCAAAAUAGUGACGUCUUCCUUAUAAAGAACGGCCGACCAGUCUUCUACCUAUGCCCAUAACCAAGGUUUGUGGCCUUCCUACCUGGUGUCUACCCGUAAUGUCCAGCGACCAUAUGUACGCCGGAGAACGAUAAACCCGUUACGUCACCCGUAACAGUGGGGGUUUCCGCUAAGAGCUCCGUGGGUUCCAUUUGGACUACCUGUCUUAUGUAUAUAGGGGAGUUCGUCAGGCUCGUCAGCCACUCUAUCCACAAGCUUUCUAGCGGGGGCUAUUGUCUACAUAAGGCUCGAGGUGCAAGGUCACGCUUACGAUUGGUGCCCUUCUUCUACUCUUAGGCGACCGGCGUACUAACUACAUAUACGGUGGUGGGUGCCUCGCUAGAACGUGCCCUCUUACUUCCGCGACCUGCUCUUUCUGCUAAUCUCCGUUUCGCUUGGUGAUACGGGAAGAGGGCACGACUCAUACCGUAUGUGGGCGCUUUCCCGUCGGUGCCGUCGGAGUCUAAACGCUUGUACUCUUUUUUUUUACCUACGUAGUCUGUAGUAGUUCAACCAUGGACGUCCGCCGUUUUUGAGACGUGCUUCGUCUUCAGAGUGUGGAACCUCGUCCUCGGCUUAACAUAAGGGAGGUAUGUGUCCUCGAAGACUACGAAGUGUGGGGACAUGCUUAUAAGUUGCACUUUUUAUAGUUUUUUAGACUUUAAACCACUACAGUUUGGAACCAAGAAUUAGAUAAGGGCACACUUUAAAGUACUUUUCUUAUGAUCUUUUGCAUAGGCACUGCUUACUUUAUAACAGGCUUGUUUUGAGGUAGG